UACGAAGGGGGCUAGCGUUGUUCGGAAUUACUGGGCGUAAAGCGCGCGCAGGCGGCUAUCCGAAGUCAGUGGUGAAAGCCCGGAGCUCAACUCCGGAACUGCCAUUGAAACUGUUUAGCUUGAGGAUGAGAGAGGUGAGUGGAAUUCCCCAGUGUAGAGGUGAAAAUUCGUAGAUAUUGGGGAAGAACACCGGUGGCGAAGGCGGCUCACUGGCUCAUUACUGACGCUCAGGCGCGAUAGCGUGGGGAUCAAACAGG
rnacentral:rRNA from 1 species